GACGUAGGGGACGAGCGUUGUCCGGAUUCAUUGGGCGUAAAGCGCGCGUAGGCGGCCACGCAAGUCGGGUGUGAAAUCCCGGAGCUCAACUCCGGAACUGCACUCGAAACUGCGCGGCUUGAGGUAGGUAGGGGAGAUCGGAAUUCCUGGUGUAGCGGUGGAAUGCGCAGAUAUCAGGAGGAACACCGGUGGCGAAGGCGGAUCUCUGGACAGUUCCUGACACUGAGACACGAAGGCCAGGGGAGCAAACGGG
rnacentral:rRNA from 1 species